AUUUUCCGCAAUGGGCGAAAGCCUGACGGAGCAACGCCGCGUGGAGGAAGACGUCUUUCGGGAUGUAAACUCCUUUCAGUCGGGACGAGACGAAGACGGUACCGACAGAAGAAGCAUCGGCUAACUACGUGCCAGCAGCCGCGGUAAGACGUAGGAUGCGAGCGUUGUCCGGAAUUAUUGGGCGUAAAGCGAACGUAGGCGGUUCCUUAAGUUUGGGGUUAAAGACCGAGGCUCAACCUCGGGAGUGCCCUGAAUACUGGGGGACUGGAGGACGGCAGAGGAAAGUGGAAUUCCCAGUGUAGCGGUGAAAUGCGUAGAUAUUGGGAGGAACACCAGUGGCGAAAGCGACUUUCUGGGCCGUUCCUGACGCUGAGGUUCGAAAGCGUGGGGAGCAAACAGG
rnacentral:rRNA from 1 species